CUUUGCCUUUAAAAUUGAUAAGUUUUGUACUUAAUGUUUCAAAAUCCUGCACGUUAUGUCCUUUAGCUCUAACUGAGUUAAAUUUUUCUGUUAAAUUAUAUCACACAAGGCUAGUUUAGUCUUUUUAUCAAAAAAAUAACAAAUAUACAAAAUUAAUAGAAUAUAUUAUAUGUAUAAAGAAAAAUCUUGUCUGCCUCUCUCUCUAUAGCUCUCUCUCUACUCUAGAUCUCUGUCACUACCUCUCCCACCGCCACCAUUAACCACCAACAGCCACCCUUAGCCACUACCCUCCACCACUCUCCAAUAUCACUAUCACACCACCAUUACAGAUCGACGAAACCCUAACCCCAAACAGAUGCAGCCCGUUCCUCAUCAUCACAUCCGACGUCGUUCAAAUUUCUAGUUGCCGAAAACUGGAAGUUCUCCAUGUUCAAAACAAUAGACACAAGAUUUGUUCUUGAUGAUUCGACAACUGUAAGUUAGGGUUUUAAGAAUUGGGGAUUUGAAGGGACAAGAGUCCGUUACAGAAUUGGGGAUUUUGUGCUCACAAGAUUGUGGAUGUGGGGUUGUAGAUCCAACAUUGGUGGUGGUCACAGGCUUAGGUUUGUGAAGGUGGUGGUAGUCAGGUAUGUGACCCAAGAGUCCGGUUUAGAAACUUUCCGACAAGGUGCAGGGUGCUUCGACGACAGUGAUGACGGUUGGAGUGGUUCGGUUGCUAUCAUGGUGUCUAAAUGGUUUCAAAUGGAUAAUGUGGGAAAUGUUGUUGAUCGGGUAAAAGCACCUUAGGUUUGGAGGGGUCCGGCCAACUCAGAUUUAGAGGGGUUCGGCCAACUCAGAUUUUGUUGGUGGUGGUUUAGCCGGUAGGUGGGGACAGUGGGUGGGUGGUGGUGUGGUGGUGGUUGUUGGUGGUAAAGAGGUGGGUCGUGAUGGAGAGUUAUUUACAUAAAAUGGUUAGGUAUUUAGGUUAUUUGCAUAAUUAGCCCCUGGAACGGUGAAUGACAAAAUUGCCCUCAUGUGCCUUGCACAUGAUCAGAUUCAACAAAAAAAAUUAACUAGGUUAGGGCUAAAGGACAUAACGUGCAGGAUUUUGAAACAUUAAGUACAAAACUCAUCAAUUUUAAAGGCAAAGGACACCGCCUGCAAUUUGAUACAAAUAUAAAGGACAAAACUUGUAGGGUAAAUUACACUUUUCGUCCUUUAUGUUUGUAUCAGAUUGCAAUGGAUGCCCUUUAACUUCAAUAAUUACAGCCACGAUCCUUUUUUCGUGAAACUCAUCACACCCUACGUCCUUUAGUACUAACUGGGUUAAAAUUUCUUGUCAUGCACAUAAGGGUAGGUUAGUAAUUUUACUAUUAUUUAUUAUAUUUAAAAUAUAUUUACACAAAUAAACAACCUGAUCUCAGUUAUCUCUCUUUCUCUAUCUCUCUAUCUAGGUUUUGUCUCUCCCAUCUCUCUCAUUCAGAAUCAAUACAAACCCCAUCUUUAAGCUCUCUGUCUAUCUCUCUUUAUUUGAACUUUCUAUUUCUAUGAACCACCACCACCAUCUUGUCAUCUCCACCACCGCCUAAAACCACCACGGUACCACCACCUGAAAUGACUCUUACUCAGGGCCGGUUUUGGGCAUGUGCGGGAGGUGCCACCGCACAGGGCCCAAAAUAUCUAGAGGCCCAAAAUUGUUUAAAAUAUAUAAAUAUAUAUAUAUAAUUAGUGUAGAAAGUAUAAACAAAUUUACCGUGUGGUUCAGUGGAUGCGGCUACUUUCUAUUGAAUUGGCAAUCCCGGGUUCGAAUCCCACGCUUGUCACUUUUGUAUUCUUAUUUUCUUUAUGUAAUGUUAUUUUUUCUUCUUCGGCCUUAAGGGCUGAUUAUAAAACAAGGGGAAAGGCCCCAUAUAGCCACAUUUAAAUUUGGGCCUCAAUAAAUUUGUAAACUUCUUCAA